rnacentral:rRNA from 1 species
AGUGCACGCUGGCGGUAGGCCUAACACAUGCAAGUCGAACGGCAGCACAGAGGAGCUUGCUCCUUGGGUGGCGAGUGGCGGACCGGUGAGGAAUACAUCGGAAUCUACUCUGUCGUGGGGGAUAACGUAGGGAAACUUACGCUAAUACCGCAUACGACCUACGGGUGAAAGCAGGGGACCUUCGGGCCUUGCGCGAUUGAAUGAGCCGGUGUCGGAUUAGCUAGUUGGCGGGGUAAAGGCCCACCAAGGCGACGAUCCGUAGCUGGUCUGAGAGGAUGAUCAGCCACACUGGAACUGAGACACGGUCCAGACUCCUACGGGAGGCAGCAGUGGGGAAUAUUGGACAAUGGGCGCAAGCCUGAUCCAGCCAUACCGCGUGGGUGAAGAAGGCCUUCGGGUUGUAAAGCCCUUUUGUUGGGAAAGAAAUCCAGCUGGCUAAUACCCGGUUGGGAUGACGGUACCCAAAGAAUCAGCACCGGCUAACUUCGUGCCAGCCGCCGCCGUAA